CCUACGGGAGGCAGCAGUGAGGAAUAUUGGUCAAUGGACGGAAGUCUGAACCAGCCAUGCCGCGUGCAGGAAGACGGCUCUAUGAGUUGUAAACUGCUUUUGUACAAGGGUAAACCUGAAUACGUGUAUGCAGCUGAAAGUACUGUACGAAUAAGGAUCGGCUAACUCCGUGCCAGCAGCCGCGGUAAUACGGAGGAUCCAAGCGUUAUACGGAGUUAUUGGGUUUAAAGGGUGCGUAGGCGGCUUGAUAAGUUAGAUGUGAAAUGUCCGGGCUUAACUCGGGAACUGCCUCUAAUACUGUUGAUCUAGAGUGUAGGUGCGGUAGGCGGAAUGUCUGGUGUAGCGGU
rnacentral:rRNA from 1 species